rnacentral:rRNA from 1 species
AUUGAACGCUGGCGGCAGGCCUAACACAUGCAAGUCGAACGAGUGGCGGACGGGUGAGUAAUGUCUGGGAAACUGCCUGAUGGAGGGGGAUAACUACUGGAAACGGUAGCUAAUACCGCAUACCAUCAGAUGUGCCCAGAUGGGAUUAGCUAGUAGGUGAGGUAACGGCUCACCUAGGCGACGAUCCCUAGCUGGUCUGAGAGGAGUACCAUCCACACUGGAACUGGGCCACGGUCCAGACUCCGUCGGGAGGCAGCAGUGGGGAAUAUGGCACAAUGGGCGAAAGCGUGCUGCAGCCAUGCCGCGUGUAUGAAGAAGGCCUUCGGGUUGUAAAGUACUUUCAGCGGGGAGGCGUUACCCGCAGAAGAAGCACCGGCUAACUCCGUGCCAGCAGCCGCGGUAAUUC